UACGUAGGGGGCUAGCGUUGUCCGGAAUCACUGGGCGUAAAGCGCACGUAGGCGGACUCUUAAGUCGGUGGUGAAAUCCUGGAGCUCAACUCCAGAACUGCCUUCGAUACUGGGAGUCUCGAGUUCGGGAGAGGUGAGUGGAACUGCGAGUGUAGAGGUGAAAUUCGUAGAUAUUCGCAAGAACACCAGUGGCGAAGGCGGCUCACUGGCCCGAUACUGACGCUGAUGCACGAAAGCGUGGGGAGCAAACAGG
rnacentral:rRNA from 1 species